AGUGAACGCUGGCGGUAGGCCUAACACAUGCAAGUCGAACGGCAGCACAGUAAGAGCUUGCUCUUACGGGUGGCGAGUGGCGGACGGGUGAGGAAUACAUCGGAAUCUACUUUUUCGUGGGGGAUAACGUAGGGAAACUGACGCUAAUACCGCAUACGACCUACGGGUGAAAGCAGGGGAUCUUCGGACCUUGCGCGAUUGAAUGAGCCGAUGUCGGAUUAGCUAGUUGGCGGGGUAAAGGCCCACCAAGGCGACGAUCCGUAGCUGGUCUGAGAGGAUGAUCAGCCACACUGGAACUGAGACACGGUCCAGACUCCUACGGGAGGCAGCAGUGGGGAAUAUUGGACAAUGGGCGCAAGCCUGAUCCAGCCAUACCGCGUGGGUGAAGAAGGCCUUCGGGUUGUAAAGCCCUUUUGUUGGGAAAGAAAAGCAGCAGGUUAAUACCCCGCUGUUCUGACGGUACCCAAAGAAUAAGCACCGGCUAACUUCGUG
rnacentral:rRNA from 1 species